rnacentral:rRNA from 1 species
AUUGAACGCUGGCGGCAGGCCUAACACAUGCAAGUCGAACGAGUCGCGGCCUGGUGAGUACUGUCUGUGAAACUGCCUGCUGGAGGGGGAUAACUACUGGAAACGGUAGCUAAUACCGCAUACCAUCAUAUGUUCCCAGAUGGGAUUAGCUAGUUGGUGGGGUAACGGCUCACCAAGGCGACGAUCCCUAGCUGGUCUGAGAGGAUGACCAGCCACACUGGAACUGAGACACGGUCCAGACUCCUACGGGAGGCAGCAGUGGGGAAUAUUGCACAAUGGGCGCAAGCCGGAUGCAGCCAUGCCGCGUGUAUGAAGAAGGCCUUCGGGUUGUAAAGUACUUUCAGCGGGGAGGCGUUAACCGAAGAAGAAGAACCGGCUAACUCCGUGCCAGCCGCCGCGGUAAUAG